rnacentral:rRNA from 1 species
AUACGACUCUCGGCAACGGAUAUCUCGGCUCUCGCAUCGAUGAAGAACGUAGCGAAAUGCGAUACUUGGUGUGAAUUGCAGAAUCCCGUGAACCAUCGAGUCUUUGAACGCAAGUUGCGCCCAAGGCCUUUCGGUCGAGGGCACAUCUGCUUGGGCGUUAAACAACU